GACGAACGCUGGCGGCGUGCUUAACACAUGCAAGUCGAACGGAAAGGCCCUGCUUUUGUGGGGUGCUCGAGUGGCGAAAGGGUGAGUAACACGUGAGGACCUGCCCUUGACUUUGGGAUAACUUCAGGAAACUGGGGCUAAUACCGGAGAGGAGCUACUGCUGCAUGGUGGGGGUUGGAAAGAUUCGGCGGUUGGGGAUGGACUCGCGGCUUAUCAGCUUGUUGGUGGGGUAGUGGCUUACCAAGGCUUUGACGGGUAGCCGGCCUGAGAGGGUGACCGGGCCCAUUGGGACUGAGAUACGGCCCAGACUCCUACGGGAGGCAGCGGUGGGGAAUAUUGCACAAUGGGCGGAAGCCUGAUGCAGCAACGCCGCGUGCGGGAUGACGGCCUUCGGGUUGUAAACCGCUUUCGCCUGUGACGAAGCGUGAGUGACGGUAAUGGGUAAAGAAGCACCGGCUAACUACGUG
rnacentral:rRNA from 1 species